rnacentral:rRNA from 1 species
GACGAACGCUGGCGGCGUGCUUAACACAUGCCAGUCGAACGGAAAGGCCCUGCUUUUGUGGGGUGCUCGAGUGGCGAACGGGUGAGUAACACGUGAGUAACCUGCCCUUGACUUUGGGAUAACUUCAGGAAACUGGGGCUAAUACCGGAUAGGAGCUCCUGCUGCAUGGUGGGGGUUGGAAAGUUUCGGCGGUUGGGGAUGGACUCGCGGCUUAUCAGCUUGUUGGUGGGGUAGUGGCGUACCAAGGCUUUGACGGGUAGCCGGCCUGAGAGGGUGACCGGCCACAUUGGGACUGAGAUACGGCCCAGACUCCUACGGGAGGCAGCAGUGGGGAAUAUUGCACAAUGGGCGGAAGCCUGAUGCAGCAACGCCGCGUGCGGGAUGACGGCCUUCGGGUUGUAAACCGCUUUCGCCUGUGACGAAGCGUGAGUGACGGUAAUGGGUAAAGAAGCACCGGCUAACUACGUG